UGGCGGCGUGCUUAACACAUGCAAGUCGAACGGUGAAGGUGGAGCUUGCUCUGCUGGAUCAGUGGCGAACGGGUGAGUAACACGUGAGCAAUCUGCCCCGAACUCUGGGAUAACCACGGGAAACCGUGGCUAAUACUGGAUAUGUCGAGUGACCGCAUGGUCUGCUCGUGGAAAGAUUUUUCGGUUCGGGAUGAGCUCGCGGCCUAUCAGCUUGUUGGUGAGGUAAUGGCUCACCAAGGCGACGACGGGUAGCCGGCCUGAGAGGGUGACCGGCCACACUGGGACUGAGACACGGCCCAGACUCCUACGGGAGGCAGCAGUGGGGAAUAUUGCACAAUGGGCGCAAGCCUGAUGCAGCAACGCCGCGUGAGGGAUGACGGCCUUCGGGUUGUAAACCUCUUUUAGUAGGGAAGAAGCGAAAGUGACGGUACCUGCAGAAAAAGCACCGGCUAACUACGUGCCAGCAGCCGCGGUAAUACGUAGGGUGCAAGCGUUGUCCGGAAUUAUUGGGCGUAAAGAGCUCGUAGGCGGUUUGUCGCGUCUGCUGUGAAAUCCCGAGGCUCAACCUCGGGCCUGCAGUGGGUACGGGCAGACUAGAGUGCGGUAGGGGAGAAUGGAACUCCUGGUGUAGCGGUGGAAUGCGCAGAUAUCAGGAAGAACACCGAUGGCGAAGGCAGUUCUCUGGGCCGUAACUGACGCUGAGGAGCGAAAGCGUGGGGAGCGAACAGGAUUAGAUACCCUGGUAGUCCACGCCGUAAACGUUGGGCGCUAGAUGUGGGGACCAUUCCACGGUUUCCGUGUCGCAGCUAACGCA
rnacentral:rRNA from 1 species